GUUACAUCCGUCUACCUUGACGCAUGUCCAUUGUGCGUGUGCUAACUUUAUCUCAUGCUGCACAGAUAGACUACUACUGUGUUUUUACCAUUUUUCUUUCACCUCAUAUUUGGUCUCAAAUGCUGAUACUAUGUGGGAAUGAAUAAAGGUGAGGCAAAGACAUUGAUGCUGCAGGCCUGAUGGAUGGAUAACGCCGCUUCUGUUCCAAAGAGCAAAUGCACAUGUGGAGGGCCCACAGACUGGCCAUGUUCAACCACACAACUAUUACGGCGGGGCAUCGUGUUGAGUUGGUGACGACCCUGGGAUGCAGAGACAGGUUUCCAAGUGCAGGAACACCAUGCUCCUGCACUUGAAGAGCUACAUGACAUCAAAGCAUUUUGUGUUGGUAAGACUUUCCUUUCCUCCUCUUAAAACUUGGAAGCAUUUUCAGUCAGGCGCCUCAAUGUAGAUGUUGUCAGCACAUGGGCAAAUAUGAUCACACCGGCUUUUACAGCGACAUAAUGCACUUUUUUGCAUGAUGUCACGUUAUUUCUGUCACACGUGCAUCCCCACGGUUCACUUAAGCCUUAUUAAGGCUGAUAUUUCUACAUUCUGUGACACCUGGUGACUUGACCUAAAGCAGCUGAGUCUGUUUGAGCUUAAUGAGGAACCAGGGCCUGCCUUGUGGUCACAUGAUCGUGUUCCCACAUGACAUGACUGUUGUUCAGGAUCAUUUGAUUGCGCCUGAAGGUCAAAGGUGCUCUCAGGCAACAUAAUGUAUUGACCUGCAUGUAAGACGACUGUCAAGUCCCGUUUUCGGCAAAAACAAUAAAUCACUGUAUGUGAGUGAUAUGAAGAAAAGCAUUCAAAAUUCUCAACAGCCUCACUAUAACACAACACAUAAUAUUUUCCCAGGAAAAAUACUGUCGUAAAUUUGGGUCAAAACCAUGCAAUAUCAAUCUGCCAUUGUUCAUGUUUGGU